GACGAACGCUGGCGGCGUGCCUAAUACAUGCAAGUCGAGCGAAGCAGCGGAUGGGUGAGUAACGCGUGGGUAACCUGCCCUUAAGUCUGGGAUACCAUUUGGAAACAGAUGCUAAUACCGGAUACUAAAGGAUGGACAUGCGAUGCAUUAGCUAGUUGGUAAGGUAACGGCUUACCAAGGCGAUGAUGCAUAGCCGGGGUGAGAGACUGAUCGGCCACAGUGGGACGGAGACACGGCCCAAACUCCUACGGGAGGCAGCAGUGGGGAAUAUUGCACAAUGGGCGCAAGCCUGAUGCAGCCAUGCCGCGUGUAUGAAGAAGGCCUUCGGGUUGUAAAGUACUUUCAGCGAGGAGGCGUUACUCGCAGAAGAAGCACCGGCUAACUCCGUGCCAGCAGCCGCGGUAAUUC
rnacentral:rRNA from 1 species